CCAAACUAAGUUUCCUGGAUUUGGACUGUUAUGGAUGAUGAUAAUGAUCAUGGAUAUGGAAUGACAACUCUAAAGUGCUCCUAGUCUGGCCCAGAGGAUGGGAGGUGUUCUAGGGUGUUACAUGUUGGACAAGAAAGAAACUGCUGAGCCACCUGGAAAUGAUUCUGGACAUAUGGUGUGAAUCUCUCAGCCUUGCUUGACAGCAAUCAUGACAAAUGCUCUGGACUCACCCAUAUGCACUUGUGUGAGAGAAAAGGUCCAAGGCCCAAGAGGAUCGAAGACCUCAUUGAUCCACUUAACAAACAAGAUAUGAGUAACCCAAGCUUUGCUGUUGGACCUCCACAUAACGUUUAACUGGCUCUUCUGCACCUUGCAUUUCUUG
rnacentral:lncRNA from 1 species